UGAGCUCACUUUUUACGACGCCCAUUUCAUCUCCUCUUUGUUCCAGUUUUGCUGCUCAGAAGAGAUUAUGUUUUAGUUUUCAAUCUUUCCAUAUUUGUAUCUCAAAUUUGUGGAAUCAACUCUCUCCUCUUCAUUUUUCCAUCCAUUUUCUGCUUUCACUUCUAAUGCAUUUCUCUUUUUUUCACUAAUUUGGGUCUUACAAGUUUCUUCAUUUGUUUUUUUCUUUUCAGCUUUCCAUUUGAAUUAUUUUCUAUAUCAGUGAUUGAUUUCUUUAUUUUACAGUUUUCAAUUUCAUAUAUGGUCCAAAUUUGUGAUCCUUUGUCGUGUUUUACAGCUCUGUAUUUGAGAAGUUUUUCAACUUAGUUAUUGAGCAUUGUGCUUUUGUCUCCCACACAUCAAUGACCUUUUCCAAAUAUUUUGAAUUCAAAAUUUGAAUUUGAAAUUUGAAAUGAAUGUUUCACGCGCGCGAUUACUGUUUCCUAUUUAUACAUCUUUUCACUAAUCUAAAAUUUUUGUAUUCACUUAAAUCGGUAUGUUGUAUUUGCAGGAACCGAUGGCAAAUUUAUUCUCGCAUUUUAUUUAAUUUCAUGGGAAACCUAAUUACCUUUGAUUUGUUCAGGCUUGUGGGAUUUCUCUUAUGCAAUGAUGGAAUCAAAGGUGGUCAAUACUCAUGGCAUGCCUGCUUCUCCUUUGGCGAUGACUCUACUCGUGGUAUUCACAAGGUCGUUCACACAUUAGCUGUCUCGGUCUCCUAGCUUAAUCAAUGGAGAAUCCAAAUCGCCAGAGAAAACAAAGGGUCUCUUUUGACUGAGUCACCAAACUCUACAUUGGAGGGAAAAUGGGUUGCAUGGCUUGGGGGUAUCAACCAUGGUUUUGUUGCUUUCUGUGCAUACGAAAAUGAAAGCUCGUUACUGCAUAAUUAGUUGAAAGAAUUGAUGCUUGGUCUUGAACUACCAAGUUUUCCAUUUCUUUUAGUGAUAAGCCUCCUAAUGGAUUUGAGUCCAUGGAAGAGCUUUACCAGAAGGGUUGAUAGAAAGGGCCGAAAGAGGGAUUGCAUAUGAAGGAUGGGUGACACAAUAAUUGAUCUUGGAACAUCCUACUUUUGUUUGGCUCUGGAACAGUAUACAUUUAUCUACCUAUGAUAUCACAAGUGCAAAGCCACUCCCUGAUCUCUAUUAGUGGACAAUGAUAUUGUGGCUACUGUCAUUUUGAGUACUGCAAUCGAAGCUUGCUAUGUUGAGUAGAUAAGUGUUAUUUAUAAGUUACAGUGCCCAUGCUAUAGAUGAACAAUAUCAUCUUAGUAUGAGAAAAACAUUUAUUGAUUCAAAUCAUUGAUACAAAGUGGAGAGCAUACUUAAAGUAGUCUUUCUUUAAUUGAGUUUGACCAAAAAAUAAAUGUUGCUAGGAUAUGUGUCUACUUUAACUUCAUUCUAUUAUAGCAAUAAGAUUGAUUUGAUUAUUUACCAACGUC